rnacentral:rRNA from 1 species
CCCUUCGGGAGCCUAUACAGGUGUUGCAUGGCUGUCGUCAGCUCGUGUCGUGAGAUGUCGUUAAGUCCGCUAACGAGCGCAACCCUCGUCGUAUGUUAUAUGUGUCAUACGAGACUGCCGGUAAAAAGCCGGAGGAAGGUGAGGAUGAUGUCAAGUCAGCAUGACCUUUAUAUCCAGGGCUACACACACGCUACAAUGGUCUGUACAAUGGGUAGCCAAGCCGCGAGGCGGAGCCAAUCCUGAAAGCAGGCCUCAGUUCAGAUUGCAGUCUGCAACUCGACUGCAUGAAGCCGGAGUUGCUAGUAACCGCAGGUCAGCAAUACUGCGGUGAAUACGUUCCCGGGUCUU